rnacentral:rRNA from 1 species
UGGGGGAUAUUGCGCAAUGGGCGAAAGCCUGACGCAGCGACGCCGCGUGGGUGAUGAAGGCCUUCGGGUCGUAAAGCCCUGUCGAGGGGGACGAAUCGGUUUCGACCCAAUACGUCGGAGCCCUGACGGUACCCCUAAAGGAAGCACCGGCUAACUCCGUGCCAGCAGCCGCGGUAAUACGGAGGGUGCGAGCGUUGUUCGGAAUCACUGGGCGUAAAGCGCGUGUAGGCGGUCCGCCAAGUCUGAUGUGAAAGCCCGGGGCUCACCCCCGGAAGUGCAUUGGAAACUGGCGGACUCGAGUCCCGGAGAGGAGGGUGGAAUUCCUGGUGUAGCGGUGAAAUGCGUAGAUAUCAGGAGGAACACCGGUGGCGAAGGCGGCCCUCUGGACGGUGACUGACGCUGAGACGCGAAAGCGUGGGGAGCAAACAGGAUUAGAUACCCUGGUAGUCCACGCUGUAAACGAUGAGCACUAGGUGUCGCGGGUACUGACCCCUGCGGUGCCGCAGCUAACG